UGGUGGGUAGUUUGACUGGGGCGGUCUCCUCCUAAAGAGUAACGGAGGAGCACGAAGGUUGGCUAAUCCUGGUCGGACAUCAGGAGGUUAGUGCAAUGGCAUAAGCCAGCUUGACUGCGAGCGUGACGGCGCGAGCAGGUGCGAAAGCAGGUCAUAGUGAUCCGGUGGUUCUGAAUGGAAGGGCCAUCGCUCAACGGAUAAAAGGUACUCCGGGGAUAACAGGCUGAUACCGCCCAAGAGUUCAUAUCGACGGCGGUGUUUGGCACCUCGAUGUCGGCUCAUCACAUCCUGGGGCUGAAGUAGGUCCCAAGGGUAUGGCUGUUCGCCAUUUAAAGUGGUACGCGAGCUGGGUUUAGAACGUCGUGAGACAGUUCGGUCCCUAUCUGCCGUGGGCGCUGGAGAACUGAGGGGGGCUGCUCCUAGUACGAGAGGACCGGAGUGGACGCAUCACUGGUGUUCGGGUUGUCAUGCCAAUGGCACUGCCCGGUAGCUAAAUGCGGAAGAGAUAAGUGCUGAAAGCAUCUAAGCACGAAACUUGCCCCGAGAUGAGUUCUCCCUGACUCCUUGAGAGUCCUGAAGGAACGUUGAAGACGACGACGUUGAUAGGCCGGGUGUGUAAGCGCAGCGAUGCGUUGAGCU
rnacentral:rRNA from 1 species